UGAUGAUUUGUCGUUCUAUUUGUUGGAAAAAUUCUUUCUGAUCUUUUAGUAUAAUAUUCUUUAAAAAUAACUUGAAAGUUUAAUUACAGUUUUAGAAAAAUUUCGAAAUGAAAUUAAAUAAAAAUAUCCUAAAGAUAAGGAACAGAAAAGAUCUAUGGAUCAAGACGUGCAGAGCACUGCCCUAGAAGCAAAAUUGCCCCUCCACGUGCGAGGCUUUCCGGCAAUUACUUCUAACGAUACAACAACCACAUUUCGCCCGUGGGCACGCUUUCAAGGUGGCGCAAGACGAAUCCAACAAGCUUCAGAUCCAGCACAGAAAACUUGGCGAAAAAGAUUAAUGGUGAGAAAGUAAGGAAAGACGAGAUAGAGUUUAGGUAUGCUCGGAUUCUUUUUUUCAACUCGUACAAUCUUGCCCAAUAUUUAUAAUCAAGUCGAGAAUCUUGAUCCAACGCGUAAAAUCCGUGUUCUCACGCUUUCGAGGUGGCACAAGACGAAUCAAACAAGCUUCAGAUCCAGCACAGAAAACUUGACGAAAAGUAAGGAAAGACAAGAUAGGGUUUAGGUAUGCUAGGAUUCUUUUUUUCAACUCAUGCAAUCUUGCCCAAUAUUUAUAAUCACGUUGAGAAUCUUGAUCAACGCGUCAAAUCCGUGUAGAACAAGAUAAGCCUAAGAUUAUACGGAUACGGAUAAGGAUUAGUAUAAAGAUAAAGAUAAGAAUUAAAAUAAAAAUAAAAUAAAUCAAGUGUAUGGACGGCAUGUGCGCCGCCAGACCAGCCCGGCACGUGCUCGUGCGUGCCUUUAAAUGAGAGCAACACUCUCAUUUUCUUCCAAGCAACUAGCUUGAAAACAAAGGAAUAUAUAAAAAUCAUAAACAUUCUUUUGGUUUCCAAUGUGGGACUAAAUAUCACAAAUGAAAAUUUUAGUUUGGGUCCCAAGCAAAGCCCAUUAAUAAUUAUUGGGCUCUCAAGAGGCCUUAACAAAUUUUAAAUCACAAAAACCCAAUAAAACCCAAUAAAAUCCAAUACUAUUUUCUAUUUCAAUUCAUUCUGAUUACCUUUUUUCAUUACCAUUCCAAUUAUGAACCACAAAUGCUCUAAAUAUGUUCUGCCAAAACUAUAUAUAUUUUUUAAUUUUCCACAUGUAAAAUGAAAUAUCUAAUGAUAAACUUGACAUUGCCCCCUCUGUGGUAUAACGUAUUUUUAUUUUGACAUCCUAUGAUUCAAAAAGUUAUAUUAAAUUAUCCUGUGGUUUAGCGCGUGUUUUUCUUAUUCCAUUCUACGGUUCAAAAUAUUUUACUUAAGUAUCCUGUAAUUUUAUUGUUAUUUUACUUCAGGGAUAUAUAAUUAAACAAGAUACCCCUUGUGGUUUUAAAAUUUUUUUUCUUUAUUACCCUAUUUGAUAGCAGAUCUUUUUUGAAAAAAAAAGUAUGAAAUAAUUAAUAGGGUUAAUUUCAUACAGGUCCCUGCAAACAUGGUGAAUAGCAAAUAUAUCCAUGCAAAGUUCAACUUUCAUAAAUUAUCUCUGCAAACGUCAUAAUGUAUUCAGAUAUGUCCUUGCCGUUAAUAUCCGUUAGAGAAAUUUAGUUAACCAUAAUUAAAAUACUUAAUCAUGGUCAGUAAAUAAGGUAAAAUGAUAUUUUUACCCUUCUUCCUCUUCCCCUUCCUCUUCUUCUUCCUGUUCUUCUUCUUCCUCUUCCUCUUCCUCUUUCUCUUCCUUUUCCUCUCCUGCUUCUUCUUCUUCAUCUUGUUCUUCGUAUCCUCAUUUUCCUCCUCCUUUUCUCCUCCUUCUUCUUCUUCUUCAUCGUCGUCGUCGAUUCCGAUCGUCGUCGCCGCCGUGGUGCCCACA
rnacentral:lncRNA from 1 species